GAUGAAGAACGUAGCGAAAAGCGAUAAGUAAUGUGAAUUGCAGAAUUCAGUGAAUCAUCGAAUCUUUGAACGCACAUUGCGCCCGCCAGCAUUCUGGCGGGCAUGCCUGUUCGAGCGUCAUUUCUACCCUCGAGCCCCCCCGGGGGCCUCGGUGUUGGGGGACGGCACACCAGCCGCCCCCGAAAUGCAGUGGCGACCUCGCCGCAGCCUCCCCUGCGUAGUAGCACACACCUCGCACCGGAGCGCGGAGACGGUCACGCCGUAAAACGCCCAACUUCUUAGAGUUGACCUCGGAUCAGGUAGGAAUACCCGCUGAACUUAAGCAUAUCAAUAAGCGGAGGA
rnacentral:misc_RNA from 1 species